rnacentral:misc_RNA from 1 species
ACUAGCUCAUAAAAAUUCUGACCAGAACAGAUUUGAAAAUCAUUAGUCCUCAACAUCUGUAACAUGACCAUAAGAAAUGCACUAGUCAUGUGCCAUAAAAUUUUCCAUGCAAACUGCAAGUUCAUUCAUCAACAUCUGAAUUUCGUGGGGAUGGGCUACGAGAAGCAGCAGGUCGACCUCUAGGUGAGGCACUUCGUGGAGUUG